CACAGUAAAAAACUCCCUAAUAUCUAACCUAAGUUUCCCUUCUUUCAGUUUGAAGUCAUUACUCCUUGUCCUGUUACUACAGUUUCUGACAAAAGAGUCCCUCUCUGGCUUCCCUGUAGGCCCCCUCCAGACACUGGAAGGUUGCUAUGAGAUUGCCACACAACCUUCUCCAGGUGAACAGUCCCAACUUUCCCAGUCUGUCUUCACAGGGGAAGUGCUCCACUCCUCAUCAGCUUCAUGGCCUUCUGGACUUGCUCCAACAAUUCCAUGUCCUUCUGUUACAGGCCUCUCUUUUGCCUUGAAAAUCACUGUUGACAAUCAAACCUAAGAAGCAGAAGUCGGUUUUACUCAAGUUUUCAAAAUAUUAUCCUAGGAAUAUUACUGAAUAUGUUGUUCAAGUUGGUAUGAAUAUUGACAAUAUUUGAUUUUAGCUGAAUCCUGCAGAAAGCAUAUGCAUAUACAUAGCCAUUAUAGGCUGCAGUGUGCUACAGUGUGCAAUGUAUGUGCAUAAACCAAGAUCUUCACAAAAUGCCCAAACCAACAGCGCUGUGUAAUGUUCUGUUUUUAGGAAAGAAUAUAUUAGAAAGCAGCUAGUGCCUAAUGGUGUAAUUUUUCUAUCUAAAACGCUAAGAAAGAGGAUUCAAUUUUAAUUCUAAUGACUAAUAUUAUUUUUGUUAUAACAUUUCUUCUACCAUAAGUCUGUAUGCAGUGAACCAUCUCUAUGUGAUUUGAAGAUUUUGAAAUUAGAUGCCUAAUUUAUUUAUAAAAUAUAACAGCAGUUGUUUCCUUUCCCCCUUAUCAAAAUAUUUCACUUCCAUGUUGUUUCUUGUUCAGUUUAUUGUAUUUCUGUGUGCCAAAUGGAAAUGCCAUUGCACUAUUGCUAUUCUAGGCAAUAAAGGCUGAUAGUGUGCUGUAUUUGAUUAAUCUAAUGAUUGUUUUUCCUAUAGAUAGAUUGUUUUCAGAUAGGUAUGAGCAUUAAUUCCUUAUGUGCUGCAUUUGAGUCACCAGUAGUCCAGUUUAAGAUUUAUCUCAAAUAAUUCAUUGUAUUUCUUAGUAGCUACCCAAAAACUUCAUCAGCCUUGCUUAGAUCCUAUAAUGUUUUUUAUGAACUAGGUUUUUUUGUUGUGGUUUUUAGUUUUGUUAGGCUGUGUGGGAUACUAAAUACAAAGAAGAAGAAAAAAAAAAAGCUGGCUCAGUGGAAGUACAUAAGCAGGUGUAAGAUCUUACUGACUGGCACAUCUCUUUCCAUGUCAAGCCUUAAACAAUUAGAACUAAAAUUCUUGACUGCCUUGAGACAUAGUCAGAUACCCAGUUUGAUCUAAGUUAGGAUCAUCAUUCACAUUUCCACUUCUGAUCAAAUCAGAAAUGGUAGAAAAAGAGAGCUUUUAUGAGCUGUUUGGAGCAAACAGAGGUGAACUAACAUGCCAGCUAUGCAAAUAGCUUCUCUUUUCAAGUAAUAAAGCAAAUGUUAAGGAAAUUGACUGUUUCAAAGGACUUUAGAAGAUAGUGAAUUGUUUAUUUUUCUUCAAAUAAAGUUUGCAAUAGCUAUUUUUAAAUGCUAUUGAAGAUGACUUUUAAUAAUAUAUGUCUAAUGUUUGCUUGUUUAACAAUGCAGCUACUUAUAGUAGAUCGCAGUUUCUGUGCACUGCUGACCACUACCCAUCCUGAGCACUUUUUAGAGGUUGGCUCAUCUGUGUUUUAAAACUCAGAAUUUAAUAAUAUUAAUAAAAUUUUACAAAAGUUUUACAGCAGUGGCUUCCCUGGCCAGGCUGUAAACAGUGAAUCUGCAGGUCACUGUUUGGGACUUGUGUGACUAAGGUCACUCAUUUUAAAAGUCUAUUAUUUUGUUCAACAUGGAGUUACUGCAAAGUUCUCUGGUAUCUGUAACCGAUGUAGCAUAAUCAUGUUACGUGAUGAGCUCAGUUCCGGUAGGCCCCUUGUGGUCAUGGAGAAUAUCAGCAACUGUGCUCUUGUGUGAACAGGAGCAAAUCCUUCAGACACAGCUAAUUGCUGAAGUGGAAGUAAAAGAGCACCAAGAAAUUUUUAUGCCAAAAUAUUUUACACAAACGUAAUUGAAUUGAUGUGCAGAACUUUUUUUCAGGUGAUCUGCUAUUUCCACAGCCGUUUUUCAUGGUUUAGAAUUUUGUCUCCAUUACACUGUCUUUUCCUAAUUUUCCUUACAAUUCUCUUGCUGUUCCUCUUGCCUGCCCUUGAAAGAGCUUCCUGGCCCAUUUCAACUCAGAAGUCAGGAUCUGCUCAGCCUCACUUACCUCUUUUGCCCUGUCCCCUCACCAUCUUGCCCGUAAGUUCAGUAGCCAUUUCUGUUCCCACGUCUCACAGAUCUACCGUUUCCUUCAGAGCCUUUAUGGCCUGUAAAGACUAAAAUCUUUGGUCUCAUGGAGAAUUAGCUAUCAACUCAAACUCAGGAUGAAUAAAAACACUUAAGACUUGUCAGCACAGAUUUAUGAAGCUGAAAUAAUCCUUAACCAACCUAAUAGCUUUCUAUGGUAAGAGGAUGGGCUGUGUGGAUGAGGAGGAACAGUGGAUAGACUGUAGGAAGGCUUUCUCUCAUAAUUUUUUUCUGUUUCAAUAUUGAUAAUAGUCCUAAAUAAAGCAAAUUUGGAACAUGAGAUGUUCUGAUGAUGGACCAGUCUCUAGUAAAGUGGUUUUGGAGCAAGCAACUAGGUAAAAUGAAGAGGCUAGCAGAGCUUAAGUGUAAAUACCGGUGCAGACAUACCAUCUCUUCCUACACAUGAAGUGUCAGGCAGAUGCAUGUGUAAGUAGUGCAUAAGUGGUGACUCAUCUUUCUCCUGAGCCUUGGACACCUUUAGAAGAGCCGUGAGCAGAGGAUGUGCCUGGUGGUGGUGCUCACGCUCAGACCGCAGUACCCUGCUCCCUGUGCUGUGGCAGCGCACGCCAGUUUGGCCCUAGCUGGGUGUCCAUGUCUUGAAAUCAGCCACGAUCUUAGGCACGGCUACUUAGGUAAGUGAGGAUUUUAAUACGGCUGAAGCAAAGGAUGAGAAAUCAUAUCCCUAAUAAAGAGGAAUAAAACGACAUAAGAGCAUCUUGAUCUGAUUUUCAACAGCUGCCUACCAGGGAGACUCUGUGGAUUUCCCUGAGGAUUUUUCUGGCUCACACUGAUGGAAAGGGAGGACUGAGCUGAGGGAUAUUUUAGGUAAGGGGAUAGACAUUCUGUUUUAUUUUUUUUUAGACAGGAAUGCUCAUUUAAAAUGCUGGAUCAAGGAGCAGGGAUGGCAAUAUAAACACAUGUGGAAAUAAUACACUAACAAAGCUCUGUGUUUUCAUGCGCAGAAAAUAGAUAGCAGCCAACUCUAGCUCAGUGGGCAGCUAAUUAAGCCAGAGAUCUCUCUGUACUUUGCAUUCUAAGUUCAGUACAAGAGCAUGUAUCAGAGAGGUGCCAUAUGAUUUUUCCCUUAUAGUUCACACUUUGAUUUCAGGCAUGAACUAUGUAUCAUCCCCGUAGUGAUUAUUUAAAGGUGGGGUGGCUGGAUGUUAGAUGGGAGUCAAUAUGAUAAAUGUGUCUUGUUUGUGUGGAUGAUCAUUGUCCUUGAUCAGUUGUUCACAUGCAGCUUAGGUCUUGUUUUUCUGUUCCUGAUUUUAAUAGAAUCUUAGUUAGAAUAAUAAAAACAUGAACACCUUUACUAUUUAACAACAUGAAGUUUUAGUGAGACAGUUGUAAGGAGUGAUUUUCCCAUUGCUACAUACUCUGCUUGCUCCACUUAAGAUUGAAUGCUACAGCUUUCAUGGUUCCUUUCUCAACUCCAUCCACCAUUUUUCCAAUACACCGAGACCAACCACAGUCUGAAAGACUUUUAUUACAGGAUACAGGAGAAGCAAAAAAAAAAAGGUGUGAAUUCUUUGUGAGGAAGCUCAGCGUGUGGUCUCAAAGUGGUACCUCUCACCAAAGGAGUAUGAGACUCCACAUUAUAGGGAAAACAAAGCCUGUUGUGACUGACACAGCUCUGCCUCAGCUGCUUCUCUGGUUUCAUUCUUUUUCCACUCAUUCAUAAUGACUUUAUUCUUCUGCUUUUUCAAGAAGUAGAGCUGGGAUAAUGCUGCACAAGGUAUGCAGGAACACUCUCUAAUGCAAUCCUAAACUCCAAGUCUCUCUAGAUAAAAAGAUUUCACCCAGCAGCCAGUGGGGCACAUCUGGCUUGCAGGAGGUUUGAACAUAGCCAUUUUCCUUGGAGGUGAUUGAAAACAAGUUACGUGAACUGCUAGCAGAACUGGGAAGCAGCAGGCACGAGGUCACAAGGAGAGGGGCAGUGAACGAAGGCAGCUGCCUGGAGCAGGAACUGCCUGGCAGAGAGCACUUGUUUGCACAGUCUCACCCCAACGCCCAGGGGCGAGAGUGGCUGUCUCCCACCUGGGGAAGCAGCCAGCCUCUGUGCCUGGUCUCUGGCCAAAACAUACCUUUGGCAGUGGGAUGUGAGUCUGUCUGAGAGAUACAAGGAAAGAUGACUGUGUGGAAGAAGGAAGGCAAGAGCGGGAGAAGGAGCAAAACUUUAUUGAGAAUAAUGUUGGACUGUUGGUGCUAGAUCAAUGUAUAGAUCAGUAUUCUGUGCUAGGGGCAGCAAAACUGCAGGCUGACAAUACACAUCUUGUUUCACAGGUCACAAAACAUUCCUAUGUGCAUUCAAGUUGCAUUUUAUUGGCCUGAACACAAACCUCUUGCUCCAUGUCCCGUGCAGUGUGGAUGGCUCUGUGAGGGAUGUUCAGGAGCAGAACACGCUGCUGUAAACAACUGCAGAGAGUCAAUGACGACAGGCUGCAGUGCAAAAAGGCAAACAGAGUCUGAUGUAUAAACAAAGAGUACACUUGGGAGACAUAUGAUGCCCUUCAAAGCUACUGGCUGUGCUUUGUUGAAGUCUGUGACAGGAAACCAGUGCUCUGGCUGUGGGGCUUCUGCGUGCAGAGAACAAGAAUUGUCUAGGAAGCUCAGCCACCAUGGGAAGAUUGAAUGAAUUAGGGUUCCGUGAAUCUCGGGGAGGUCGGGGUGUGGAUAAGGUAUUUCUCUCUCAGCUGUGUCUAGCUAUUUUGCAAACCCUUGAAAAUUAAGGAGAAUAAUUAUUUAAUUGUGACCAUAAUAGGUAAGAUUAGAACCAGGUGAUUAAAUUGCAGAAAGAAAGUUUCAGUUCAAACAACAGGGAGAACUUUUCUAAUAGGAGAAACAAACUGUGGGGCAGGCUGCUGUGGGAGACAGCCUGCUUCUUUCUUCAGAAAGAAGAGCAAGUUAGCCAAACACCUUCUAAUAAUGACCCAGGUCUGUGUGAGACUGUCUAGGUGGUGGAGAUGGAAUAAGUAAUCUCUUGAUGUCCUUCCUGGACCUGUUUUCUUAUGAGCUGAUGUCUGCAAGCUCUACUGCUAUCACACAGCACUGGACAGUUUUUACAAGAGACUUACUGAAAUGCACGAGGUGUAACUUUCUGCUGAUGCUAAGGGAAGUGCUAAAAAACUUUGAAUUUACUGGAGUUAUAGAGGAGUUAUGUGGUGAUUAUGAAAAUCUAGGCCAUAAUUCCCUCCAAAAGUAACUGAUUUGAUUUCUGAUUUAUAAUAAGGUUUAUAGUAUGUGCAGAAUGAAAGUAAUUCUUGAAAAGGCUUCAUUAGAAAGUAGAGGAUCAGGUGUCCUGUAAGAAGGGCUGACAGACACAGUGAUCUGAAUUUUUGAGUCUUUUAGGGGUUGUCUAGAAACAAAUAAUUGUGACCAGGUAACCUAAAUAGAGAUUGGAGUUGCAUAAACGUGCUACAGGUGCUGUUCUCCCAGGCUGUUCCUAAGGUCAGUCCAAAUAAUAUCUUAGGUUUGUAGAUUUCAACACCCAGCUCCUCAUCAUUAUAAAGAGAUUUAAAUGUUGUGUUUGUGACUGUGCUGGUUACAGCUGUGAUGUUUGAUUACACCUUGCAGAUUCAAUUUACAGAAAUGCUCAGUGAUGUAUGUCUGAUAUCCUGGCAGUUCAUCUCAGCAUCUCCAAAUAAAUGUUGACAAGAUUUUCUGAAAACAGGUUCCGCUUCAGAUCAACCUUCUGGAAAACCUUUCAGGUGCUAAACUAAUGUGAAACUUCAGGCAUGCGCACAAGAUGUCCAAUUUCGAACAGUGUGGUGGAGAAGCGAUUGUCACUUUAGCAUGCUCAGCUAGGUCAGGACCUGGUGCACAUCCUCUUGCCACUGAUUGCAUUGAGUGCUAGCUGGGACACCUGAGAAUUCCUGCUCAGUGGUCCUGACCCACCUGUGCCAGGUGUCAUUCAAUCAUGGAGAAAACGACUGUCCCUACUCCAGAAAACUCCCUGUCAACACAUGGAACACGGAGGACACAGAAGGAUCUGGACAGAUGAAGGGACAUGAGGAAAUAGUGUGACAACUACAAAGCAGCAGGUAGAUCAAUCUUGAUUCAUAGUAUGUGUCUGGUAGAGCCCUGGUGAAGACAAAAUUCUGAACCAAAUCCUUGCAUCUUGUCUUUGAAUCUCAUUAAAGCUACAAAGCAUCCACAACUAUGAACUGACUUUUACUGUGUAAUUAAUUGGGGCUUUUCCUGCUUUGCACGGCAGGUGCUUUAAAGGCAUGUAAAGACCAUUAGGACUACUUUGAUUAGGACCUGUAGUGGUGUCAUGAUUGAUUUUAAGGUUCAGUGGAAGGACUGUGAUGGGAUUUGAGUUCAGCCAUAAAAUUUUGAAGUAAAUGCAAAUUUGGGGAUGAGAGAUUGCUUCCUUGUAAAUGUUUUAAAAAAGCCUUCCUUUGUUUUUAUUUCUCCCCGAUGUAACUAAAUAGUUAUUCUGGAAAUAUAAUUAAAAUGGAUUUAAAAAGAAAUAUUAUUCAUAAAAGAAGUUUCAUCAUUACAUUCUAUUUUCUCCAUGGAAAAUAGUAGGGUUUUAAUGUAGUUGAAUGUCAAAGCCCUGCGGAUGUAAUUGUUGUGCUUUUGAAAGGAAAACAUUAAUUAAAUGAAUGUGUCACUACCCUGAUUAGCUUUUCUCCCUUUUGGAUAGUUGCUGUUCCAUCUCCUUUGUGCAGAACCUGAGAGUGAAAAAGUCACACAAAAACCCCUGAGAAAUGUAAGAAAUUAAAAGCACCCUAAAAUUUCUGGCUCCAUCUCCUCUUUGACUAAUACUGUCUUCACAAAUAUAAUGGAUUACCACAGUAUUCUGGAACUGCCUUGCCAUGCAGAAGGUGAUUCAGAAACGGAGGAGGUCCAGAAGAAUGAUGGGGGUGGUAAGGAGACAGAAACAAUCCAAAAUUUAAGAACACUGGAAAAUUUGAAUCAAACCUGAACUUCAUUAAAGUCACCAAGCUUCUUUUCUGAAAUUUGGAAAUAUCAGAACAGUGCAAUUUCUUCAGUGGUUUAGUACUUGACUUUUUGCAGCUCGAGAAGGGGUGAUAAAGCAACUCAGUUUGGAGUUAGCUCCAGAGAGCUCCUGCACCUUAGGCAUGUGUGUUGCCAAAUACUGGAAUAAAGCCAACAGUUGGAUGCCUCCAAGAGACUGACCUCAUUGCAAGGCCUUAGGAAGCAAAGUAUUUCAGGACUGGGAAAAUCUUUAUCAGCCAACCAUAGUGGGAAAUGUUUGGGUCUGAGUUAAGAGCUACGUACAAUGGUGUGUUGCUAAAAACGAUAGGUGCUUAUCUGCUGUACUUCAGAAUGCUUUAUGUACCAUUCUGUAUGCGGUCUGUGGUGUGUAUGAACCUUUGGAAUUAGCAGAUAGUAUUUUUGAUAGUUCAUGCUUUGAUAAUUUUGUACUUUUUCACAGCUGGGAGGUCUAUUAAAAAGUGUUGCAAAAGCUGA